GCUUUAUUGAUCUUCAAAGUUCUGGCCACCAUUCACUUGCAUUGUAUGGACCAACAGAGCUGAAAUAUUCUUCUAAAAAUCUUCAUCUGUGUUCAGUAGAAGAAAGAAGGUCAUACACAUCUGGGAUGGCAUGAGGGUAUGCAAGUGUGGAAUGACUACAUGGUGAGGGACUGUUUUCCACAACAUCCCUUGUGAGCUUGUGAGUUUCAGAGAAGAUAACAGGUCCCUGGAGGAGUGACUCCCUCCUGAACACUUGUCUUAUGACGAUCUCAUUGGUUUAUGCCAGAUGUGAUGGAUGUUUGGCAGAUUACAGCUAUUAACAUUAAAUGUUGGCAGGUGUUGUUUCUACCAGUUCCUCUCAAGUGAUAUGUAUUUAAGUUAUACAAACAAGGGGCCACAAAAGAGGACACCAUUCAUUCCUAUUAGAGAGGGAAAGAAAAGAAGCAAUUCUGUGUUGGCAGAUUGCUGCAUAUAUUCUAGCACGUACCCUGAACAAUGUCCUGACUUAAAUUGAGUUAACUAAGAAAAACUGACUAUUUUGACCUUGGAGGUAUUUCAUAUCAAGAUGUACAUAGCUGAGCGAUCUGGAAUGAAAUUUCAGAGGAUCGUCAGCUUAAGGUUAAAAUACAGAACAGCUGCGUAGUAGCUGCAAUAAUCUCACAGUGUGAAAGCCCAGAGGGCAGCAGAUGUGUCAGAGUUUGUUUGUUUUUUCAUGCAAGAUUGGCCAGAAAUAUGCACAAACACUGUGACAAAAAGAGUGACCUGACAAAAAAAAAAAAAAAAAAAAAAAACAUUUACAAAUAAUUAAAAAUAAAAAUAAAAAAUCUUAAAUGCCAUUCAUAAAAA